rnacentral:rRNA from 1 species
CAUAUCGACGGCGGUGUUUGGCACCUCGAUGUCGGCUCAUCACAUCCUGGGGCUGAAGUAGGUCCCAAGGGUAUGGCUGUUCGCCAUUUAAAGUGGUACGCGAGCUGGGUUUAGAACGUCGUGAGACAGUUCGGUCCCUAUCUGCCGUGGGAGCUGGAGAACUGAGGGGGGCUGCUCCUAGUACGAGAGGACCGGAGUGGACGCAUCACUGGUGUUCGGGUUGUCAUGCCAAUGGCACUGCCCGGUAGCUAAAUGCGGAAGAGAUAAGUGCUGAAAGCAUCUAAGCACGAAACUUGCCCCGAGAUGAGUUCUCCCUGAGACUUAGAGUCUCCUGAAGGAACGUUGAAGACGACGACGUUGAUAGGCCGGGUGUGUAAGCGCAGCGAUGCGUUGAGCUAACCGGUACUAAUGAACCGUGAGGCUUAACCUU